ACAAAUCUGCACCUUCUGCCUCAGCAACCAGAGAAAGUUGAGCAAGGACCGCGACAGAAAGACAGCGAUUCGAAGUUAGGAGGUGGCCCACAGCACCCAAGAGGCAGCUGCCACUGGAGGAUCUGCAGAGAGCCCCCACUGCGGACCUGACCCAGUGCAGACCUCCUGCGAGCAUGCCCUCUUGUGGGCAGAGACUAUGGAUGGAUGGAUGGACGGACAGACAGACAGGCAGCAGCAGGGCUCUGAGCUGGCCCCAGCACUUGCCCAGGUCCACCGGGACUUUCCAGGACAGAUUCAUACCUGGGUUUCACAUCUUGUGUCUUUGAUAUGAUAAUAUAAAUUCCGGAAAUUUUGUAUAAUUAAAAACAAAACAAUAGCUUCUUCUAAA